rnacentral:rRNA from 1 species
UACGUAGGGUGCAAGCGUUAAUCGGAAUUACUGGGCGUAAAGCGUGCGCAGGCGGUUUUGUAAGUCUGUCGUGAAAGCCCCGGGCUCAACCUGGGAAUUGCGAUGGAGACUGCAAGGCUUGAAUCUGGCAGAGGGGGGUAGAAUUCCACGUGUAGCAGUGAAAUGCGUAGAGAUGUGGAGGAACACCGAUGGCGAAGGCAGCCCCCUGGGUCAAGAUUGACGCUCAUGCACGAAAGCGUAGGGAGCAAACAGG